AUGCGCUGCAAUUAUACCACUGAAAAGCGGCACUAAUAGAAAUGUCAAAUGUGUACCGUUGACAGCUGUUAAAAGUUUGACGCCGGCGUAUGAUGUUAACGGCGUCGAAUAAACAAACGCUGUCUGAAAAUAUAAAAUGACUUAUUCUAAUAAAAUUAUUCAACGAAGUUCUGAGGAUAAAAUUAUGAAGCUUGUUUUGAUAUUUUUUUUAAAGAUGUUAUUCUUGCUUAAAUCUUAUAAGUUACCACAUCAUGAAAAAGUUAACAUAUGAGGUGAAAACCAUUUUGUUGUCAAACAGCUGUUUUAUAAAAGUAAACAAAGCUUAAUUUGAAAUGGAGAGCAAAACAAAUUUUUAGGCGUACAAAAGUUGAAAGAACAACUCAGGAACAGUUGCAACUUUACAUAAUGUUCUGCACGCAGCAUCCCGAGUUACAACUCCGGAAGCUAAAUUCGACAAACUCUCAAGAGCUGCAAAUGUUGUGGUCGGAGUUAGCACGUUGAAUGCCUUAAGAGGCCCAGCAGGUAAUUGCAACCUUUACAAUUAGAAUUGCCGGGUGCUCACACAUUGGGUCAAGUGACUUGUAGAGGCCCCUCGCACGUUGGAAUGACGGAGUUUGAGGAGCAGGCAAUUGCAAACUCAGCAAAAACAACCGUAGAUGGAUUGCCGGGUGCUGGCAUAUUGUAUCGACCGGUAAUAAUUUAACCUCAAAUCAAUAAUAUAUUUAUAAAGUAUUUUAUGUACAACAAAUCUAAUUUGUUUACUUACUAUAUGAAGCAAUAAUUGGUUUGCUUUUGCCGGUGAAAGAGGUGCUGAAAAAAAUGUAAGCCCACGAGAGACGAGAGGUGCAGUCCAUUGCUCUACAACAAAAAAUUUUAGAUCAAAACGUGUAGAUGACAUUUCCCGCAUGCAACGAGUCCCCGCAUGAUUCUAACCACCUCUUUGCAUGCCCAACGAACCCUACUCAUCUAACACCCCUUUCCCUUUGGUCCAACCCUGUCGAAGCACGUUUCCUGGGCCUCCCGUUAAAUAAUUUCAACGACAACUAGAUUUAUGCUCUUCUUUUCAGGCAGGGAUAGAUAACCGCUACAACAACAGCAACAACAACAGCAGAUGACGGAGGUAAUAAGCCACAUGUCGCAAGCGCUAACGUCGUAAUGAUCACAAUACAUAUCAAGUAAUAUUAAUUUACAGUAGUUUUCCUAAAUACCGAAGACAUUAAUUGUCAGGCCUGUUCGUUACAUCGAAUUCCUCGUUAAUUCAAGUACUAACUUAAAGUUAUCUUUAAAAAAUAGCUUAAAUAUCGGUAAAUUGCAGUUUAAUAAAUUCUUUUAUGAAAUUAUUUUGAAAAAUGUAUUCAAAAACUUGAUUAAUCGUCGUUCGCUUCGUUGAAAUACGAAUAUUAUAGUUGAUCUCGCUCUCCGAAAGUUCAAUCAAUACAAUACAUUUUUUUAAAUUGAUAUUGUUCUUUUUCUUUAUUGACACUUAUUGCCGCAUAAAAGGACAGCUUUGGAUAUGUUUUUUUUUUAACUUUGAGUUAGAAAGAAUUCGAGUUAUAGAAUUCUCAUUAAAACAUAAAAUUUUGCAUAAAGCUGUAAAAGAUAGAAUUAUAUCCAGCUUUAUGUAUUUACUUCGCAUAAAGUCUUAUUUAAGUACAUAAGUUAAAACAUGUAUUCUGUAAUUUUAUUUGUUGCAGAUUGCUUUUGUUUGGCUUUUGAUGUUUGGAUCGCAUGCCUUUAAUUCUUGCUUUAUGCAAUCCAUAAGUGUAAUAUUAUGUUUUUUGUUCGUCUCCCUACGGCAUAGAGGGGCUCUUUUAAAAUUCUGCUUCGAUACUAAAAUUUUAAAUUUUGUAUUAUGCCCUAGUCGAAAAGUUCGAUUUAUGAAAGGAAAUGUGUAUGCAAUUUGACUUCUAUUACCACUUCAAAAGAUCGAUUUAUGGAGUACUUCGAGUUAUAGAAGAUCGAGUUAUGGAGUUAGUUUUCUUUCCAAAAUUCCGACACUUUUACUUUUAUUUGGUGAUGAUCAAUAAUUUUAAUUUUUUCUAUCCAAUUCAAUAUUUUUCUUGUACUCAAUUUUUCAAUUUGUACAUUUCUCUUGAAUUUUUUCAAGUUAUAUUUUUAAUUCUGUUUUUACAAUGAUUUUAUUUGAUUUUUAACUCUUUCUACAUAUGACUUCUUCAUGUUGUUCGUUAAACCGAAAUCCCAGAUGUUCGUAAUAUAAGGUACUCAAUGUAAGAAAUUUCGUUGUAAGAGGUUUUCUUUAAAACGAAUAUGCGUUAUUUCGGAAAUCUACUGUCUAAUGUAAGUUAUUACAUAUGUACCUACAUAUAUGUAUAUAACAAAAUGACUGAAUUAUUUAAACAUAAAUAUCUUUUUAUUCACACUUAAAAAGGAAGGAAGGAGGAAGUAAAAUGUACGAAUGCAGUAAGUAACACAUUUACUGUAAUCAAAAAUGUUUCUAUUUCGAAUAGAUAAUACUUCUCUCAACUCUCAACCGAUUUUCUUUUUCUUUUUGCAUUUUAUCUCUGAGUUCUGUUAAAAUCUGAAAAUUUUUCGUUGAGAACUGAAAUUAUCUUUCCUUUAAUUUUCCACCAAAUAUUAUUGUUGAAAAAACCUUAAUCUUCUUUUGUAACACUGCGUAAAUUUUAAAUAAUACGUGAAUGAGAAAGCUACUUAUUAGGGCUCUUAAAAUUAUUCGAAUGACCUGAAAACCGAUUAUUUGAAUAUCCGAUUUGUAACCGUACACACUGCGACUAUUCGAAUAGUUGUUCUGCUGCGAGUAUUUGAAUAAAUGAAAAUUGUUUGAAAUCCAAGCAGCCUUUGAUUUUUGUUUGUUUUUAUUUGUGAAAAUGUCAAUUGUGCGCAUUUUUCGCGAGUUUCACAUUUUUCAAUUAAAACAGAAGUUUUAUGAACUUGCACUUUUCGAACAGUCGACAACGAACGGUUAACCGAAUAGUCGGAAAUGAGCGCUUAAUCGAAUAGUCGACAACUUACGACUAUCCGAAUAUUGCAAACCGGAACAACUUUGCUUCCGCCGUUUUCCAAUAGAUUUCUCUAGGGUCAGGUACUGGUCGAUUAAUCGAUUUUUUUUAUAUUGAUCUUGGACAGUUGUGUCAAUAUUAAUCCAACAAAAUAUUUGUAGAGGAAAACGGCGAAAGCAAAGUUGUAAACCUAAUACAUAUAUAUGUACAUAAAUAGAUACAUAGAUACCUACGUAAAUACAUAUAAAUUGUUUCUGUUACAUGCAUUUUUUUCUUUAAGGAGAAAAAAAUGUUCAAAUAUUUGAAAAACUGUAAGUGCACAUAUGCAUUUUCCAGGUGGUCCAAUUAAGUGUGAUUCCAGUAAUUGAGCAAACUCUUCAAUUAAGGGGUUAUAUACAGUUAGAAUUUUCAAAAAAUCGAUUUUUUUUAUUUCAUUUUCUUAAUGUACAUAUAUUUAAGAAUACACACAGAAAAUUUCAUAUCGUUCCGGUGAAUAUUUUCAAAGUUACAAGCAAAUGAAAAAUUUGAAAAGGCGUUUCAGAGUGCUUGGAAGUACAAGGUCCAAACUUUAAACGCGUUUUGGUGUUUUCAAAGUCGGUGACCAACAUUACUCGAAAACGGCUAGACCGAUUAGUCUCAAAUUUUAACACGACCUUCUUAAAUAUAUUUUUUAGUAAUUAAUCGAAGAUUUUUUCUCUCCGAUAAAUAUUUUUUUUUAUAAACAAUUUAUUUUUUUUUUGAGAAACCGCCAUUUUGUCAAAAAAUUUUAUUUUGCUUAUUCCCUCGAUUAAUUACUAGAUUUAACAUUACUUUAACGAAAUCUGUUUGGUUUCUUAAUUUCGGAUGAUCCAGUUCCAAGAUAUAGUGGUCACCGCAAAACGUCUUUUUUGAGAAGAGCUCCUGGAGAUCAGCUGUAGCUCUUUUUCAAAUAAAUAUUUUUACUAGUACUAAGUCUUAAAAUACAGUUAAAAGAUACCAUAAUAUGUGUAUAAAUUUUUGGAUCAAUAAAUUAAUAAGUUUUCUCAGAAAAAAUUCUGGAAAAUUCACUUUUUUUUCGGCCGUCUAACUGUAUAUAACCCCUUAAACGAUAUUCUUUUAACUGAACGAAGUGUUCAAUUAAACAAGUAUCAGUUUAUUGAUUUCCCGGUUAAUUGAAUGAUAAUUUGUGCAAAUUUUGAUGUGCAACUAUGCGAAAAGUCUGUAUACCAAUCAAGCACCAAUGAAGACAUUGUAAUAAAUCAACUGCAACGUUGGAGUAGUGCCAUUACUCAUCUGAAAGUUCCCGAAAUCGGACUAUGACUAGGUACUAGAUAUCGAAUAUGAGGACCUUAGUUUCUGUAACUAAUUUUUUUCCAAAAUGAAUUUAAAUCUUUCAUGCAAAUUCAGAGGGAAUGUUUUUACCCACUCGGAUAGACAGAAAACAUUAUUUACCAUACAUAACUUGUCAUAUUGGGUAAACAUGUGAUUGAAUUUUAUUCAUGUUAUGUUAGAAAUUUCUCGCUAAAAGUCAAAUUGUAUACGAGAAUUAAGCAUUUCUUAAACGGGAGGCUGGUGUGGACUGACUGUCCAACUAUUUUUGGAAUACCCCAUCUUACACGUAUGUACAUACAUAUGCUAAGAUUAAAUCUCCAAAGUCUCUUUUGGCAUAUCCGCAGGCUAUACUCCACUCACCUGUUCUGCAAAAGCGUGUGUACGGUAAUAAGCUGUAAUGAAUACACAAGCAAUCGGUCAGAAGACACCAUUUAAAUCUACUAAAAUCUAUAAUUUUUGACAUCAUUCAAAAUUAUUCAAAAAUAAUACUAAUAAGCCAGAUACAAUGAUAUGAUCAAUAUUUGGUUUUUGCUAAUGGAAUACAUUUAAAUUUUUAUUAUGACCACGAAAAAACAGUAAUUUUGAUUUACAAAAAUGCUCGUUCUUCAGUAUAAAAAUUUCUUCUUCUUAUAAAAAUAUAUGAAUAAAUUAUUAUGACCGAUUUCAUGUUAGUUUCGUAUGCACAACUGAAAUGAUUUUGAACUCCAAGGAGCAAACUGAUCUCUUUUGAGUUGCGACAACAUAAACAAUAUUUUUAUUAUUCUUUGCAUGUUUUCAACCAAUUUUGCAUAUUUUAAAUUUUACUGUUUGAUACAGGUGAGUUUUCGCCAGACUUUCUCCCGUUUACAUUCGUAAACACUCAGUUGGGAUACACCAAGAGUUGAGUAAACAAUGCGAAUGGAAAUGUUGAAUGAAAUUUAUGUUGAGGAAUGUAUUGAACUUACUGGUCUAAAGUUUUGACAAAAGAAAAUAAAUUUUAUAGAAAUAUAUCAGUUUUUAGUUUAAACAAUGCCAGAAAGAGCGAAAACCAAAAAAAAAAAAAUAAAUUUUUGUUUUCUAUUUUCUAUGUUUUUUUUUGUCGAUUACUCCCGUCUGUAAAAUCGUCAACUUAAAAUCAGUUGAACUAUACUUUACACUGUCAAAGUGCCUGUCACCAAUCAAGCGUAAUUAAUGACAUAUUUGAAAAAUCCAAACGAAAAGCUGCACUCGAUUCGUAAUUCGUCGGCUAAUUGGCACUUUCUCUCCCAGUGCUCUGCUUUGAGACAACAUAUAAUUAAGUUCACAAAACCCCGAAAAAAUUACCAUAAAUCACUGCAAACGCCGGCGUCCAACCGAGGUGGCAACAAAACCAUAAAGAAGCGCACAGUAGCCUCUGAGCACAUUAUGCCUAAUUACUAAUUAAACAUAAUAAAUUAAUUGGUCUGUGUUUAACACUUGACAAUGCUGCUGGCAUAGUAGCACAUAAAUGAGCGCAAAUAAACAAACAAAAAAUAACAACAACAACAGAACAAAUAAUAACAAAACAGAGGUAGCUAUCACAGCAACAACAAAAAGCAAAGCCUGAAAAAAACGGUGUGAGCAUUUAAUGUCGCAUAUGAAUGACCAAAAAUGAUUUUGAUUUUGCCAAACAAAAUGCAUGCGCUUAUUAAAAACAUACGAAAAUGGAUAUGCAUAAUUAAGAUGCCAUACAAGUAGAAGUGGAGUGUUUUUAGAGCGUUGACAAAAAUAAUAAAUAUUGUUAGAAACCAUAUAGUAAUAUUAGGAGGUACCAAAAUACAUAAUACCUACCAAAGUCUAUAGGAAUGGGCUGGUGUGAAUUUCUGUAACGUAGAACUGGUCGUUGAGGAGCAGAUCCCUCUCCCUUUAUAUUAUACGGCGCAGCAACAUGUAUAAUGACAAACCGAGAUGAGAAGUGAACUGUUUCCGCAAAGAUCUUUGGAGCUGUUCGUGUGAGCCAGGAAUACCGAAGAAUAUGGAACCAUGAAAUGUAUGAGCUCUACGGCGACACAGAUAUAUUUAAAGAAGUGUGUUCCAUUGGUGGACAAUGGAAAGAAGGGCCCCUAAGCAUCCUGUAGCAAGACCAAGGGGCCUGCCUGAACUUUGGAUGUACAACUGUCGUGACUUAGCAAAUCACAGAAGCAACUGGAGAAUUGUUGUAUUGUCGGCCCAGAUUGACCCACGGAUGUGGUGUCAAAGAAAAAUAAGAAUAAGGACUGGUCGUCUUUGGAGUUUACCCUUUAAAGAUGGUCUGAGGGUCAAACCAAAAAUUACAUUCUGAAUAUUACAAUAGGCUAAACAAACCUAUAUAAAUAAACAGACUUGAUCUCAACAUACUAAAAAUGUGAAGUCUCCGCAUGAUAACAAUCACCUCUUUGUAUUCCCACUCAAACCAAUCAUUCUAACAUCCAUAUCCCAUAAUCUUCCGAAAUUACAACAGUAUGUCAAAGGUUCGAGAAGAAAAAUAGACACAUAUGUAUGCAUGUUUGACGGCUGCCUGUGUUAUGUAUGGGCAUAAAACACUUAAUUGAUUCAAAAAAACUUACUAAGAGUACGACACAGCAACAGCUUUAAUAUACUCGUAGUUAGUGUAAAUAAUGGCCACUCAGUUUAUUAAGUACGCAUAUUGGCAAGAACAUUACCCACUCUCAAGUAUUAGUCGCUAGAUAAUUGUUUAUGCAAAUUUUCGGAUCUUUAAGUUUUAGAGAACAUAAAAUCUGUCAUGUAGAUAUAUAUCUCCAGUAGUUUGUAUGAAUUGCUUAAUUGUCGGUGCGUCUAAUGUGAUAUAAGGUAGUACGUAAGUAAUAACUUGUCUUUAUUCCGCAUACUUUUGGCUUUAAUUGGCCGUAAAAUGUUUAUUCUCAAAAUGAAAAGCAAAUAUUUCACUUUUCAGUACAAUUAAAAUUCAUAUAAAAUCAAAUAACAUUUGCGUAUCUUUUUGUGCUUUUAGCGGCUUGAUUUAUCUAUAUAUCGAAAUUAAAAGAAAGCAUCAUCCGAUAAAUGUAUAACAUAUUUCACAAAACAUACUUUUAAUUGGCCUCAAGUAGGGUUGUAGUGUUCCAUAUUUGAUUUUCGGGUAAAAGGAAAAAGAACGCAGGGAGCAGGUACUGUUUUAAAGAAAAUAUUUUGAUAAUGAAAAGAACUAAUGCUUUUCGGAAGGUCCACAUGUUAAUCGAUAAUAGAGAUACCGUUAUUCUAUCUGACAUGUUCAACAUAUUGGUCUGGAAGGAAAAUAAUCGACAAAGUCCGUUUAGAACUAAUAGUCUUUUCGCACAGGAGUUAAUUGAUCAAUUAACCGGCCUUUGCUCGAUUACAAAUCGAGUUAAAAUUGGAAUACAGCUCUGCGGGUUGUUGUUCAUGCUGGAAAUUUGGUUGUGUUUAUUG